CGCUUCUAAUUCCUGUACGUCACUUUACCUUUUUUGUCUAUAAAUUUAUUCUGACCACAAGGCACCCCUGGAGCCUCUGUGAGUCUGCUGUGGUUCUGGGGACUGCCGGAUUCGCGAAUCGUUCAUUUCUCAGUUAAACUCCUUUAAAUUAAUUCAGCUGAAGUUUUUCUUUUAUCAAUGAAAAGACUAGACUGGCUUAGCCUUCCAGCCCGCACCUUUCUCCCAUGCUGGAUGCUUCCUGCCCUUGAAUAUCAGACUCCAAGUUCUUCAGUUUUGGGACUCAGACUGGCUUCCUUGCUCCUCAGCUUGCAGAUGCCCUAUUGUGGGGUCUUGUGUUCGUGGUUUCCUGCUUUUGCUCAAUUGAUCCUUUCAAGGCUCCAUCACGUUUGAGCUACAGCAAAUCAUGGUGUCCACUGUUCACUGAUGGGCUAUGUUCCAGAAGUUGCAAGAAAAGUAAAGGGGGAUAAAAGAAGAGAGAGAGAGAAGACCCAUAAAUAUUCUGAAGUAUAUGACUAAUCUAGUAUAAUGGAAGCUCAGAAAAUAAAUUGUAUUUCCAAAUAUAUAUUUCUGAAUUUUUUGGUAUUUGUUAUUGGUAUUCUCUGAAGGGCCACUUUCUUUUCUUUCUAAUGCUCUAUGUCCUUACAAAGGAAUGACUAUUAAUUCACUGGAAUAAGAAUCACACUAAUUGGCACACAGUCCCAAUCUGCUUG
rnacentral:lncRNA from 1 species